rnacentral:rRNA from 1 species
GCCAAAAACCUAGCCCAUUACUCUUAACAUGCUUCCUCCCAUCCCCCCCACAUUAAAACAAAACAUUUUAACAAUCUAGUAAAGGCGAUAAAAAAAUUUAUUGGAGCUAUAAAAACAGUACCGCAAGGGAAAUGUGAAAUAAAAAUGAAAUAAACAAUUAAGCACAAAAAAGUAGAGAUUUACCCUCGUACCUUUUGCAUCAUGGUUUAACUAGUCUUGACCAAGCAAAACGAAUUUAAGUUUGACCCCCCGAAACUAAGCGAGCUACUCUAAGGCAGCUUUUUGAGCCAACCCAUCUCUGUUGCAAAAGAGUGGGAAGACCUUUGAGUAGGGGUGAUAGACCAAACGAGCUUAGUAAUAGCUGGUUGUCCAACAAAAGAAUUUUAGUUCUCCCUAAAGCCACUAAAUGCACCCCAUUAAACUAACCCCCAAUGCUUUAGAGCUAUUCAAAUAAGGUACAGCCUAUUUGAAACAGGACACAACCUAUACUAAUGGGUUAAUCAUUUACAACGUACCAAAGUGGGCCUAAAAGCAGCCACCUCUUAAAAAGCGUCAAAGCUUUACUACCAAAAAUAAUUAAUUAAAAAAAUAAUUUUAAACCCUUUAUUCCCAUUGGACAAUUCUAUACUGCUAUAGAAUCUAUUAUGUUAAAACUAGUAACAAGAAGAAAGCCCUUCUCUUAAUGUAAGUAUAAGCCAGAAAGGAUUAACCGCUGGCAAUUAACGCAUGUGAGCCCCCAAUAGCAACACAACAAGAAAACCCUAAUUAAACAAACGUUAAACUAACACAAGCACAUUUCAAGAAAGAUUAAAAAAAAAAGAAGGAACUCGGCAAAUACUAACCCCGCCUGUUUACCAAAAACAUCGCCUCUUGAUUAAAAAUAAGAGGUCCAGCCUGCCCAGUGACAUAGUUCAACGGCCGCGGUAUUCUAACCGUGCGAAGGUAGCGUAAUCACUUGUUCUUUAAAUAAGGACUAGUAUGAAUGGCACCACGAGGGUUACACUGUCUCCUUUUUUUAAUCAGUGAAACUAAUCUUCCCGUGAAGAAGCGGGAAUUUUUAUAUAAGACGAGAAGACCCUAUGGAGCUUUAAAUAAAUUAACACUUGCCACAUAAUAUUAAAUAACAAAGUAUAGCAAUAUGAUUAAUAAUUUUCGAUUGGGGUGAUCACGGAGUAAAAAACAACCUCCAUGCCGAAAGGGCCUGUCCCUGAGCAAAAAACUACGACUUUAAGCACUAAAAAAUUAACGUCCAUUGACCCAAUAACUUGAUCAACGAACCAAGUUACCCUAGGGAUAACAGCGCAAUCCACUUCAAGAGCCCCUAUCGACAAGUGGGUUUACGACCUCGAUGUUGGAUCAGGGUAUCCCAGUGGUGCAGCCGCUACUGAAGGUUCGUUUGUUCAACGAUUAAAACCCU